GAGUUUGAUCGUGGCUCAGAUUGAACGCUGGCGGCAUGCCUUACACAUGCAAGUCGAACGGCAGCAUGAUCUAGCUCGCUAGAUUGAUGGCGAGUGGCGAACGGGUGAGUAAUACAUCGGAACGUGCCCUGUAGUGGGGGAUAACUAGUCGAAAGAUUAGCUAAUACCGCAUACGACCUGAGGGUGAAAGUGGGGGACCGCAAGGCCUCAUGCUAUAGGAGCGGCCGAUGUCUGAUUAGCUAGUUGGUGGGGUAAAGGCCCGACCAAGGCGACGAUCAGUAGCUGGUCUGAGAGGACGAUCAGCCACACUGGGACUGAGACACGGCCCAGACUCCUACGGGAGGCAGCAGUGGGGAUUUUGGACAAUGGGCGAAAGCCUGAUCCAGCAAUGCCGCGUGUGUGAAGAAGGCC
rnacentral:rRNA from 1 species